CGGACGGGUGAGUAAUGUCUGGGAAACUGCUGAUGGAGGGGGAUAACUACUGGAAACGGUAGCUAAUACCGCAUAACGUCGCAAGACCAAAGAGGGGGACCUUAGGGCCUCUUGCCAUCGGAUGUGCCCAGAUGGGAUUAGCUAGUAGGUGGGGUAACGGCUCACCUAGGCGACGAUCCCUAGCUGGUCUGAGAGGAUGACCAGCCACACUGGAACUGAGACACGGUCCAG
rnacentral:rRNA from 1 species